GCGAAUGGCUCAUUAUAUAAGUUAUCGUUUAUUUGAUAGUACCUUACUACUUGGAUAACCGUGGUAAUUCUAGAGCUAAUACAUGCUAAAAAUCCCGACUUCGGAAGGGAUGUAUUUAUUAGAUUAAAAACCAAUGCCCUCUGGGCUCUCUGGUGAUUCAUGAUAACUUCUCGAAUCGCACGGCCUUGCGCCGGCGAUGGUUCAUUCAAAUUUCUUCCCUAUCAACUUUCGAUGUUUGGGUAGUGGCCAAACAUGGUUGCAACGGGUAACGGAGGGUUAGGGCUCGACCCCGGAGAAGGAGCCUGAGAAACGGCUACUACAUCCAAGGAAGGCAGCAGGCGCGCAAAUUACCCAAUCCCGAUUCGGGGAGGUAGUGACAAUAAAUACUGAUACAGGGCUCUUUUGGGUCUUGUAAUUGGAAUGAGUACAAUUUAAAUCCCUUAACGAGGAACAAUUGGAGGGCAAGUCUGGUGCCAGCAGCCGCGGUAAUUCCAGCUCCAAUAGCGUAUAUUAAAGUUGUUGUGGUUAAAAAGCUCGUAGUUGAACCUUGGGCCUGGCUGGCCGGUCCGCCUCACCGCGUGUACUGGUCCGGCCGGGCCUUUCCCUCUGUGGAACCCCAUGCCCUUCACUGGGUGUGGCGGGGAAACAGGACUUUUACUUUGAAAAAAUUAGAGUGCUCCAGGCAGGCCUAUGCUCGAAUACAUUAGCAUGGAAUAAUGAAAUAGGACGUGCGGUUCUAUUUUGUUGGUUUCUAGGACCGCCGUAAUGAUUAAUAGGGACAGUCGGGGGCAUCAGUAUUCAAUUGUCAGAGGUGAAAUUCUUGGAUUUAUUGAAGACUAACUACUGCGAAAGCAUUUGCCAAGGAUGUUUUCAUUAAUCAGGAACGAAAGUUAGGGGAUCGAAGACGAUCAGAUACCGUCGUAGUCUUAACCAUAAACUAUGCCGACUAGGGAUCGGACGAUGUUAUUUUUUGACUCGUUCGGCACCUUACGAGAAAUCAAAGUG
rnacentral:rRNA from 1 species